rnacentral:rRNA from 1 species
UACAUGUGGGGCAAGCGUUGUUCGGAAUUACUGGGCAUAAAGGGUGCGUAGGCGGCUUGUUAAGUCACUGGUGAAAGUUUUCGGCCCAACCGGAAAAUGGCCUGUGAUACUGGCGAGCUCGAGUGCGUGAGGGGUGGGGGGAACGAGCAGUGUAGCGGUGAAAUGCGUAGAUAUUGCUCGGAAGGCCGGAGCCGAAGGGGCCCCACUGGUACGCAACUGACGCUGAGGCACGAAAGCGUGGGGAGCAAACAGG